GGAGCCGUGCCCAGGGCCAGCCUCCCCCAUGUUGACAAGCGACGCCCUGUCACUGAUUAAACAGGAGGAAGAGCACCAUGUGCAGGGUCAAGAUGCCUUGGAGGAAAGUCAAAUCGCAACCAACCCAUCACACCACAGCCUUGCUGCUGACGGGAUCGUGCUCAAAACACA